AUUGAACGCUGGCGGCAUGCCUUACACAUGCAAGUCGAACGGCAGCGGGGGAGAAGCUUGCUUUUCCUGCCGGCGAGUGGCGAACGGGUGAGUAAUACAUCGGAACGUGCCCUGUAGUGGGGGAUAACUAGUCGAAAGAUUAGCUAAUACCGCAUACGACCUGAGGGUGAAAGUGAGGGACCGCAAGGCCUCAUGCUAUAGGGGCGGCCGAUGUCUGAUUAGCUAGUUGGUGGGGUAAAGGCCUACCAAGGCGACGAUCAGUAGCUGGUCUGAGAGGACGAUCAGCCACACUGGGACUGAGACACGGCCCAGACUCCUACGGGAGGCAGGAGUGGGGAAUUUUGGACAAUGGGCGAAAGCCUGAUCCAGCAAUGCCGCGUGUGUGAAGAAGGCCUUCGGGUUGUAAAGCACUUUUGUCCGGAAAGAAAUGGCUCUGGUUAAUACCUGGGGUCGAUGACGGUACCGGAAGAAUAAGGACCGGCUAACUACGUGCCAGCCGCCGCAGUAA
rnacentral:rRNA from 1 species